GUUUCCUGUUGCUUUAUUGACCCUAAUAACUUUACAAUAACAAAAAUCAGAAUGAGUUCAGUAUUGGAAUUUGCAAUUUAUUGCAUGUGACACUUACCUCUAACACAAAACAAUUAAUUGCAUUAAUAUAAAUUUAAUAGACUGAAUUCUCUUAUAUCUAAAUGUGGGCAAGAUAUUGGUGACAUACUUUUUUAAAGCAGCACUGUCAUGCCGAACUUACCUUUCCCCAAUCUCUUCCUCUUCUCACCCUCUCUCAGGAUCUGUUCUUUAUUUCUUCCUGUCUUCUGUAGUUUUCUUUAAAAUCAUAAGACAAAGUAGGGACUCUUUGCCUUAUGGAGGUUUCCUCCGCUUGACCAGCGGAGGAGCAAAGUGUGCUUCAUUUCCGCUGGUAAGAGCAAUUUCCCCAUAAUUCUUACCUUUCCUCCCUGUUCCCACGAUGCUUCCUGUCAGUAUUGCCAAACGUCCUGUCACUUAGACAGAACGCCGGCAAAACUGCCGAAUUGCAUCCUAAUAGAAUGAGAACAGUUUCUCCAUUCAUUUUAGGAUGCAAUUUGGGACUUUGGUCGGAUCGCAAUUUCAUUUGAAUUAAUGAAACUCC